rnacentral:rRNA from 1 species
CCUACGGGUGGCAGCAGUAGGGAAUUUUCGUCAAUGGGCGCAAGCCUGAACGAGCAAUGCCGCGUGAACAAGGAAGGUCUUCGGAUCGUAAAGUUCUGUUGAAGGGGAAAAAGAGCGGAGAGAGGAAAUGGUCUCCGAUUGAUAUUACCCUUCGAGGAAGUCACGGCUAACUACGUGCCAGCAGCCGCGGUAAUACGUAGGUGGCGAGCGUUAUCCGGAAUGAUUGGGCGUAAAGGGUGCGUAGGCGGACUGCUAAGUCUGGAGUGAAAGGUACGGGCUCAACCGGUACAGGCUCUGGAAACUGGCGGGCUAGAGAGCAGGAGAGGGAGGUGGAACUCCAUGUGUAGCGGUAAAAUGCGUAGAUAUAUGGAAGAACACCAGUGGCGAAGGCGGCCGCCUGGCCUGUUACUGACGCUGAGGCACGAAAGCGUGGGGAGCGAAUAGGAUUAGAUACCCCUGUAGUC